GACGUAGGGCGCGAGCGUUGUCCGGAUUUAUUGGGCGUAAAGAGCUCGUAGGCGGCUCAUUGCGUCAACCGUGAAAACCUGCCGCUCAACGGUAGGCUUGCGGUUGAUACGGGUGGGCUGGAGUUCGGUAGGGGAGACUGGAAUUCCUGGUGUAGCGGUGAAAUGCGCAGAUAUCAGGAGGAACACCGAUGGCGAAGGCAGGUCUCUGGGCAUUAACUGACGCUGAGGAGCGAAAGCAUGGGGAGCGAACAGG
rnacentral:rRNA from 1 species